rnacentral:rRNA from 1 species
AAUGAACGUUGGCGGCGUGGAUUAGGCAUGCAAGUCGUACGGAGGUAGCAAUACCUUAGUGGCGAAAGGGAUAGUACAAUAUAGAUCAUCUGCCCCCCGGUCGUGGAUAGCUAUGGGAAACUGUAGGUAAUACCGAAUAAUAUCUCCGGAUCAAAGGUGAGAUUCCGCCUGAGGAUGAGUUCAUAUCCUAUUAGCUUGUUGGUGGGGUAAUGGCCUACCAAGGCUAAGAUGGGUACCGGGCGUGAGAGCGUGACCCGGCUCACUGGGACUGAGACACUGCCCAGACACCUACGGGUGGCUGCAGUCGAGAAUCUUCGGCAAUGGACGAAAGUCUGACCGAGCGACGCCGCGUGUGUGACGAAGGCCAUUUGCGUUGUAAAGCACUAUCGUUUGGGAGGAAGUGUACGGGGGCUAUCCCCUGUACUUGACCUAUCUUAGGAAGAAGGACGGGCUAAGUUCGUGCCAGCCGCCGCGGUAACAC